UACAUAGGGGGCAAGCGUUAUCCGGAAUUAUUGGGCGUAAAGCGUGCGUAGGUGGUCAGUAAAGUCUGACGUGAAAUACCCUGGCUUAACCAGGGGGGGUCGUUGGAAACUGGCUGACUUGAAUCCAGAAGGGGUAAGUGGAAUUCCAUGUGUAGCGGUAAAAUGCAUAGAGAUAUGGAGGAACACCAGUGGCGAAGGCGGCUUACUGGUCUGGAAUUGACACUGAGGCACGAAAGCGUGGGUAGCAAACAGGAUUAGAAACCCUAGUAGUCC
rnacentral:rRNA from 1 species